AUCCUUUUGUAGUUCAUAAGCGUGAUGAUUGGGUGUUCACGCGGCUGUGUGACAUGUGCCGCCAUCUAAACCUUGUUACGAUACCAGCACAUCACCUGUCUGACG